rnacentral:rRNA from 1 species
AACGAACGCUGGCGGCAUGCCUAACACAUGCAAGUCGAACGAGACCUUCGGGUCUAGUGGCGCACGGGUGCGUAACGCGUGGGAAUCUGCCCUUGGGUUCGGGAUAACAGUUGGAAACGACUGCUAAUACCGGAUGAUGACUUCGGUCCAAAGAUUUAUCGCCCAGGGAUGAGCCCGCGUCGGAUUAGCUAGUUGGUGAGGUAAAGGCUCACCAAGGCGACGAUCCGUAGCUGGUCUGAGAGGAUGAUCAGCCACACUGGGACUGAGACACGGCCCAGACUCCUACGGGAGGCAGCAGUGGGGAAUAUUGGACAAUGGGCGAAAGCCUGAUCCAGCAAUGCCGCGUGAGUGAUGAAGGCCUUAGGGUUGUAAAGCUCUUUUACCCGGGAUGAUAAUGACAGUACCGGGAGAAUAAGCCCCGGCUAACUCCGUGCCAGCCGCCGCCGUAACAC